GGUCCCCUACGGGACGCAGCAGUAGGGAAUUUUCGUCAAUGGGCGAGAGCCUGAACCAGCCAAGUCGCGUGAGGGAGUACUGCCCUAUGGGUUGUAAACCUCUUUUGUCGGGGAGCAAAAGCCGGACGUGUCCGGCUGUGAGAGUACCCGAAGAAAAAGCAUCGGCUAACUCCGUGCCAGCAGCCGCGGUAAUACGGAGGAUGCGAGCGUUAUCCGGAUUUAUUGGGUUUAAAGGGUGCGCAGGCGGAUUUUUAAGUCAGCGGUCAAAUCGUGGGGCUCAACCCCAUCCAGCCGUUGAAACUGGG
rnacentral:rRNA from 1 species